UACGUAGGGUGCAAGCGUUGUCCGGAAUUAUUGGGCGUAAAGAGCGUGUAGGCGGCCCGAUUAGUCCGCUGUGAAAGUCCAGGGCUCAACCCUGGAAUGCCGGUGGAUACUGUCGGGCUAGAGUCCGGAAGGGGCGAGUGGAAUUCCUGGUGUAGCGGUGAAAUGCGCAGAUAUCAGGAGGAACACCCGUGGCGAAGGCGGCCCCCUGGGUCGGCCCUGACGCUGAGGCGCGAAAGCGUGGGGAGCGAACGGG
rnacentral:rRNA from 1 species